GUUCGUGACGAAGCCCGCGGUGCAGGGAAGCCGGUGUGAAUCCGGCGCGGUCCCGCCACUGUGACCGGGGAGUGCGUUCUCGCGUGAGACAACGCCACUGACGGAGAAGUCCGUUGGAAGGCGGGAGAACGGGCGCUGAUCCGGGAGUCAGGAUACCGGCCGUGGGGUGUUCCGUGUU
rnacentral:ncRNA from 1 species